CGAAGAAAUAGACAUGGCGUGAUAUUGCUUCGGCUUAUCGACUUUAAUUUUAAUUAGAACAACCGAUGAGCCGAACCAAUAUCACUCUUGUAUGUUCCUUU
rnacentral:pre_miRNA from 2 species